rnacentral:rRNA from 1 species
GGCGGGACACGUGAAAUCCUGUUUGAAGAUCGGAGGACCACCUCCGAAGGCUAAGUACUCCUUACUGACCGAUAGCGAACCAGUACCGUGAGGGAAAGGUGAAAAGCACCCCGACGAGGGGAGUGAAAUAGUACCUGAAACUGGAUGCAUACAAACAGUCGGAGCCCGCAAGGGUGACGGCGUACCUCUUGUAUAAUGGGUCAUCGACUUAGUCUGUCUAGCAAGCUUAAGCCGUUAGGUGUAGGCGCAGCGAAAGCG